rnacentral:rRNA from 1 species
UCGGAGUGCUUGCACUCUGUGAAACAAGAUACAGGCUAGCGGCGGACGGGUGUGUAACACGUGGGUAACCUGCCCAAGAGAUCGGGAUAACACCUGGAAACAGAUGCUAAUACCGGAUAACAACAGAUGAUGCCUAUCAACUGUUUAAAAGAUGGUUCUGCUAUCACUCUUGGAUGGACCUGCGGUGCAUUAGCUAGUUGGUAGGGUAACGGCCUACCAAGGCGAUGAUGCAUAGCCGAGUUGAGAGACUGAUCGGCCACAUUGGGACUGAGACACGGCCCAAACUCCUACGGGAGGCAGCAGUAGGGAAUCUUCCACAAUGGACGCAAGUCUGAUGGAGCAACGCCGCGUGAGUGAAGGAGGGUUUCGGCUCGUAAAGCUCUGUUGUUGGUGAAGAAGGACAGGGGUAGUAACUGACCUUUGUUUGACGGUAAUCAAUUAGAAAGUCACGGCUAACUACGUGCCAGCAGCCGCGGUAAUACGUAGGUGGCAAGCGUUGUCCGGAUUUAUUGGGCGUAAAGCGAGUGCAGGCGGCUCGAUAAGUCUGAUGUGAAAGCCUUCGGCUCAACCGGAGAAUUGCAUCAGAAACUGUCGAGCUUGAGUACAGAAGAGGAGAGUGGAACUCCAUGUGUAGCGGUGAAAUGCGUAGAUAUAUGGAAGAACACCGGUGGCGAAGGCGGCUCUCUGGUCUGUUACUGACGCUGAGGCUCGAAAGCAUGGGUAGCGAACAGGAUUAGAUACCCUGGUAGUCCAUGCCGUANACGAUGAGUGCUAAGUGUUGGGAGGUUUCCGCCUCUCAGUGCUGCAGCUAACGCAUUAAGCACUCCGC